AAAGGAAUAGACGGGGGCCCGCACAAGCGGAGGAGCAUGUGGCUUAAUUCGAUGCAACGCGAAGAACCUUACCUGGGCUUGACAUGCAGAGUUCAAGCGGUGAAAGCCGCUGGCCGCAAGGCGAUCUGCACAGGUGCUGCAUGGCUGUCGUCAGUUCGUGCCGUGAGGUGUUGGGUUAAGUCCCGCAACGAACGCAACCCUUGUGUUUAGUUGCCACCGGCGUGAUAAACGUCGAGCACUCUAAACAGACUGCCCGUGACAAGCGGGAGGAAGGUGGGGAUGACGUCAAGUCAGUAUGGCCCUUACGUCCAGGGCUGCACACGUGCUACAAUGGCUGGUACAGAGGGAUGCAAGACCGCAAGGUGGAGCAAAUCCUGAAAACCGGCCCCAGUUCGGAUUGAAGGCUGCAACUCGCCUUCAUGAAGCCGGAUUCGCUAGUAAUGGCGCAUCAGCUACGGCGCCGUGAAUACGUUCCCGGGCCUUGUACACACCGCCCGU
rnacentral:rRNA from 1 species